UGCUCUGAUGGCGAGUGGCGAACGGGUGAGUAAUAUAUCGGAACGUGCCCUAGAGUGGGGGAUAACUAGUCGAAAGACUAGCUAAUACCGCAUACGAUCUAAGGAUGAAAGUGGGGGAUCGCAAGACCUCAUGCUCGUGGAGCGGCCGAUAUCUGAUUAGCUAGUUGGUGGGGUAAAAGCCUACCAAGGCAACGAUCAGUAGCUGGUCUGAGAGGACGACCAGCCACACUGGGACUGAGACACGGCCCAGACUCCUACGGGAGGCAGCAGUGGGGAAUUUUGGACAAUGGGGGCAACCCUGAUCCAGCAAUGCCGCGUGAGUGAAGAAGGCCUUCGGGUUGUAAAGCUCUUUUGUCAGGGAAGAAACGGUUCUGGAUAAUACCUGGAGCUAAUGACGGUACCUGAAGAAUAAGCACCGGCUAACUACGUGCCAGCAGCCGCGGUAAUACGUAGGGUGCAAGCGUUAAUCGGAAUUACUGGGCGUAAAGCGUGCGCAGGCGGUUGUGUAAGUCAGAUGUGAAAUCCCCGGGCUCAACCUGGGAAUUGCAUUUGAGACUGCACGGCUAGAGUGUGUCAGAGGGGGGUAGAAUUCCACGUGUAGCAGUGAAAUGCGUAGAUAUGUGGAGGAAUACCGAUGGCGAAGGCAGCC
rnacentral:rRNA from 1 species